rnacentral:rRNA from 1 species
GAGUUUGAUCUUGGCUCAGAACGAACGCUGGCGGCAGGCCUAACACAUGCAAGUCGAACGCUCGUAGCAAUACGGGAGUGGCGCACGGGUGAGUAACGCGUGGGCACCUGCCCGGUGGUCCGGGAUAACCGCGGGAAACUGCGGCUAAUACCGAAUACGCCCUUAGGGGGAAAGAUUUAUCGCCAUCGGAUGGGCCCGCGUAGGAUUAGCUAGUUGGUGAGGUAACGGCUCACCAAGGCGACGAUCCUUAGCUGGUCUGAGAGGAUGAUCAGCCACACUGGGACUGAGACACGGCCCAGACUCCUACGGGAGGCAGCAGUGGGGAAUAUUGGACAAUGGGGGAAACCCUGAUGCAGCAACGCCGCGUGAGUGAAGAAGGCCCUUGGGUCGUAAAGCUCUUUAGCGAGGGAAGAGGGUAGAUACGGUGAAUAAUCGUGUUUGCUGACGGUACCUCGAGAAUAAGCACCGGCUAAUUUCGUGCCAGCAGCCGCAGUAAU